AACCAGCACCUCAAGUGGUCAGGAUGAUUAUUGGGCCUAAAGCAUCCGUAGCCGGCUCUGUAAGUUUUCGGUUAAAUCUGUACGCUCAACGUACAGGCUGCCGGGAAUACUGCAGAGCUAGGGAGUGGGAGAGGUAGACGGUACUCGGUAGGAAGGGGUAAAAUCCUUUGAUCUAUUGGUGACCACCUGUGGCGAAGGCGGUCUACCAGAACACGUCCGACGGUGAGGGAUGAAAGCUGGGGGAGCAAACCGG
rnacentral:rRNA from 1 species